CCCCUUCGUCUCUUUCACAGAGAAGCCCCACAGUCCACCACCGGCUGCCAGCGCCCAACGACCACCAAGCUUACACCAGAGCAUCGCCUCCUCCCCCUCAAGACAAACCCACCCUUUGUUUCACUCAAAUCUUACCAGAAUCCCUCAAAUCCUCGAAACCCUAGCCUCCAUCCUCGUUUUCUCUGUUGGCGGCGCCAUCACCAGACGACCUUAAACACCCUUCAGCCCUUUCAUCCUCCACACCCCAAAACUACAGUCCAUCUUCUUCAAAUCCUUGUUAAAGUGCUCGAAUACUAAUUCUAAGGAUUGAGUUCUCGAAGCCAAAGCCCAAGUCGUGCAUACGACGCUUUUUCCAGAGUCCAUGGCACAUUGUCUGCAUGUUGUUCGAUGGAAAUAUAUGCUGGCAUCAUUUUGAGUAUAACUCAUAGACCCAGGGUCCGAGUUCCAGUCAGAUAGUGAGUUCUCUUUCUUUCAUUUAUUAUUUUUUGUUUCUUCUUCUAUUCUGCUUCACUUCAACCUAUUUAUACUUUUCUCUUUUUCGGUUUGAUAGCCAAUCACCUACCCUUCUCCUUCAUUUCUUUUUGUUUGAUUUUCCAAUAUAGAUGUGUUCGAAUUGAUGGUCGUUGUCCGUCUUUGUUUAAAAUCUGCUAUUCAAUUGAAUUAUAGUCAAAGAAUGAAUACUGUGUUAUUUUUUAUCAUGUUUCGUUAUUAGUUAUAAAUUUGGGAUUUUGACCUAAUUAGAUUACAAGAAUGUGCAAGUUCAGUGAAUUUUUUAUAUUCUUUUAGAUUUCUUUUGUUUCUGUUCCCUUGGGCCUGACAGUCCUAUUUAGAGCUUUAAGGUUCGACGACUGAAAAGUCUGAAAAUCAUUGAAUUAGGCUAUACUUUCAGGCCCCUAAAUGAAACAAUGUCUGAGUCAUAGGUUGACCCGACCCUUUCAAGGGAAGUAACAGGGUCACGGGGAUUAAUUCUUUAAACUAUGAAGGGUAGUUUAGGGAAUAAAAUAACAGGAAUAAUGUAAUUUAUAAAAGAUAAGGCUGGGAGAGGUCAAAAAAAUUCUCCCCAAAGUAUGCUCUCUAAAUUUUUUAUCUAAGAUCCGAAAUUCAAGCUCCACAGCCCCAAAAAUAGUAGAAAAUUUCAAAAAACAAAAAAAAAAUAACAAAGCAACAGAAAAUCACAAAAAUCACUAUUACAUUAGGUUGCGUGUCAGUUUUCGUAGUAAUCAAGAGGCUUCAAAGUUUCUGUGUUGAAUUUGAAGUGAAAAUUUCCUGUUUAAAUUGAAUUCUGGUAACAUCGAGUCUAUUUUCACAGGUUUUUCUCAUCUCUUGAAUUGCUGGUUUAUUUCUGGAUAUUUGAGAAGCCAAUUUGAUUUUAAAGUGAUUUGGUUGUUGCUGUGUUGAGGAGCUCAUUGCUGGUUUUCUGAAAAUACUCCUGAAUCUAUUGAUUGCUGCUGCCUGUUUUAUUAUAACUGACCAUCCUCUUUCUCCUUGUAAUUUCAAUAUCAAGUAAACAUUCGAAAUCAACUUCAUGUAACUCCUAACUUCUUCUUUAAAAAAAGGAUUCCAACAACAAAACUGCUUCCACAACUACGAAAAGCAAGUUUCUAUAUCUCGCAUCUACUUAAAUUGUGUGAAUAUGAGAAUCUCUUUCGUUGAAUUGAAAGAAUUUUCUAUUGAAUGGAAGAUGAUUUUACAUUGCUGCUGCCUGUUUUAUUAUAACUGACCAUCCUCUUUCUCCUUGUAAUUUCAAUAUCAAGUAAACAUUCGAAAUCAACUUCAUGUAACUCCUAACUUCUUCUUUAAAAAAAGGAUUCCAACAACAAAACUGCUUCCACAACUACGAAAAGCAAGUGUUGUUGCUGUUUGACUUUCUAUGAAGCAUCCACUGUCCCAUUGAUUAACUACAGUUACAAAUUAUUUCAGCCUAUUUGAAGCAGGAUGAACGGAUUUGUGUUAUUUUCGAAUUGUGUGAGAUCUAGGCUAUUUCCAUUUGUAUUAACUUUUGUAAUAAGUGGACUUUGUGCCUACUAAUUUCUAAUAUAUGCGAUAAACUGAAGUUCUAGUCUAGUUUCAGUAGUUGCAACAAGUUGAAUAGAGAUGUGUUAGCAAAUAAGGUUAGAUCUCAAAUGUUAAUGGUUACUCACAGCUUUAAAUAUUGAUUUGUUUUCCAGUAAUUGUAAAAGCAAGUUCAAGUAGUUCCGUGUUCUUUGUAACUCAAUUCUGUAGUCCAGUUAGUUUAAAAAUACUACAAUUGCUUGGGUAUUAGAUUAACAGUAGUAGUUAAAUACUGAACUGUAUUGAUUUGGUCCUUUAGCUGAUUCGUAUGUAAACAGAUAAAAUAACCGACUUCAAUUUAUGCUCGUAGUUCACUUUUGAUAAUUUUAUUGGUGUUUUGGUUUUAUUGAACUGUUUAAACACGUUUAAAGUAAAUUUGAAAUAAGUGCAGCCA
rnacentral:lncRNA from 1 species